GAACGCUUGAUCUGGCACUCACCAGGCUCUGAAGGGCCGUUUCACUUGAAAAUUUAAGCAAACAAAAUCUACUGUAAUCCCAUUGCAGCGUUUGCACUUGGGCAAAACUACCUCAUCUCUGACAUUUUGAUUUUUUACAGCAGAUGGAAGAGAGGAAAAAAAAAACUUCCUCGCCUCACAAACAUAUGUGUCCAGUUGAGAUCUGAUUUCUCAAACCUUAUGCACCAAUCCAGCAAACAAACAAAAAGGUUAUUUUUUUAUUACUCACUAUUACUCCAGGAUUUCAGUAAAUAUUUGAUACUGAUCUCAAAGAAGCCCGAAUCCUGUUGGCUGGCCAUGUCUGCAGCAUACAAAGAAGCUUCUAGCGCUGGGAGCCGCUGGAAGAGCAGGUACCGGGUGUGGAGAUGUGCCUGUCACAGGUUAGUGAUGUAAGCGCUGGGUCAGGAGCUGAGACGGCGGCUCUGCGGAUCCACCUCCGUCUCUGACAACGAGUCCUCAUUUAAAGGACAGCGAGGAGCGGGAGAUGCUCAGCCGCUCCUCCUCCUCUGGGGCCAGGUCUUGCUUCUUAUUUGCUGGGUGCUGAUCUCCCUGCAGCCCUCGGAGGCGGCAGCGGCUGCUGCUUUCAUUUCUGGGCUUUCAUAAGCAGAAAUGCCUCCUGCCGGCCGCCCACAUGCUCUGCUCGAGCCAGGUACGGUACCGAGGAAGUCCCCACCUGAACCGGGAUCUGCGCUCCUGCGGGAGGAAGGGAUUCUCAGCCAGUUUGCCUGACGCGAUGCGGGCUGCCUCCUGGACCACACGGUGGCCGCAGAGCCGAAGGAUGAGCGGGGCCCUCCGCUCCCUGCCCUGCCUCAACCUGGGCUGCCACUCAGCCUCCGCCAGGGCUGGCGGAAGAGGAGGAAUCCCCAGCUUCUUGGCUCCUUUCGGUGCAGAAAGUCUUCCAGGCAGCGGCCGGGUAUGGGCUGGCUGCUACUUCCCCUUGUGUCUGUCCCUGAAACACACGACUGCAGCGCGAUGCGGUAGAGGCUGGUGA
rnacentral:lncRNA from 1 species